GGAUUGCCCUAGUAACGGCGAGUGAAGCGGCAACAGCUCAAAUUUGAAAUCUGGCUCUCGGGCCCGAGUUGUAAUUUGUAGAGGAUGACUUUGAUGCGGUGCCUUCCGAGUUCCCUGGAACGGGACGCCAUAGAGGGUGAGAGCCCCGUCUGGUUGGAUGCCAAAUCUCUGUAAGUCUCCUUCGACGAGUCGAGUAGUUUGGGAAUGCUGCUCUAAAUGGGAGGUAUAUGUCUUCUAAAGCUAAAUACCGGCCAGAGACCGAUAGCGCACAAGUAGAGUGAUCGAAAGAUGAAAAGCACUUUGAAAAGAGAGUUAAAAAGUACGUGAAAUUGUUGAAAGGGAAGCGUUUAUGACCAGACUUGGGCUUGGUUAAUCAUCUGGGGUUCUCCCCAGUGCACUUUUCCAGUCCAGGCCAGCAUCAGUUUUCGCCGGGGGAUAAAGGCUUCGGGAAUGUGGCUCCCCUCGGGGAGUGUUAUAGCCCGUUGUGUAAUACCCUGGCGGGGACUGAGGUUCGCGCUUCUGCAAGGAUGCUGGCGUAAUGGUCAUCAACGACCCGUCUUGAAACACGGACCAAGGAGUCGUCUUCGUAUGCGAGUGUUCGGGUGUAAAACCCCUACGCGUAAUGAAAGUGAACGCAGGUGAGAGCUUCGGCGCAUCAUCGACCGAUCCUGAUGUUCUCGGAUGGAUUUGAGUAAGAGCAUACGGGGCCGGACCCGAAAGAAGGUGAACUAUGCCUGUGUAGGGUGAAGCCAGAAGAAACUCUGGUGGAGGCUCGCAGCGG
rnacentral:rRNA from 1 species